CUUUCUCAUUCUCUCUUUAUCCCCCAUCACCACUACUCUCAUUCCUCCCUCCUCUCUUGAACUGAAGUCACGGCUCUAACACGUUUAUCUAUUGUCACAAUUGCUAACAUAAUGUCAGCUAAUGUUAGACUUGAGUGUCUUAAAAACAGACAGUUUCACUAACGCGUGCUAACAGUUUGUGUAUUUGUCCUUUAGGAGCCACCGUAGCUAGAGUCAUGCGCUUGAAUUGGUUGACUGCAAUUUGCAAUCUACUGACAUCUAGUGAAACAGGGGUAAAAACCCAGCAAGGACCUGAUACACGAGCUGAGAGAAGCAUCUACUGUUCACUGAAGCUUCAUCAGAAACAGUCUCAGCCUUGAUGGCUGUCAGAAACCAUUCUCAGGAAAUGGAGGAAAAGGCUGAGGCUAACACAGAGAGACAUAACUGUCUGUCAGGCUGUGCUGCCCAGCUAUCAAGUUCCAACUAGGAACUCAAGGAAAUGAUCUCCUGGAGUGUGACUUGCACCUGUCUGACACUGAAUGAACACUACUACACCUCCAGCUUCUCUCUUACACACACUGCUUCUAGUUUGUAACACAGAGGUCCAUGUCCUGCACAGGGUGGAGGAAAACGUCAACAAGCCUCUCUAUCCUGCUGUGUAGCUCUACUAUCACCUUUUGUAUUGUAAACUAACUGUACCUCUUCAACACAGCCAGUCUUCUUUAUAUUAGCUGUUUGAUGAAACCAGACUUCCUGCUUUAGUGUCUGUGUGGCUUUUAGUGAGCUUUUAAUGCAUGAUUUGACUGUUUUGUGCACAAAAUGAAGACAAAUGGCGAUAGACUGUGGGAGUGGUCCUACAAGUCCUCCAAUCCAAUUUUUUUUUUUUUUUUAAGUGAAAUUGCAAGUGAAUCAGCCCACAGAGAGGCUAACAGUUUAUCAUCAGUUUAUCAAUUUAUCAUCUUUUAUCUGUAAUUGUGUAUCUGCAAAUGUGACUUGAAACCAAUA